rnacentral:rRNA from 3 species
CACGUAGGGGGCAAGCGUUGUCCGGAUUUAUUGGGCGUAAAGAGCUCGUAGGCGGUUUCGUAAGUCGGGUGUGAAAACUCUAGGCUCAACCUGGAGACGCCACCCGAUACUGCGAUGACUAGAGUCCGGUAGGGGAGUGUGGAAUUCCUGGUGUAGCGGUGAAAUGCGCAGAUAUCAGGAGGAACACCAACGGCGAAGGCAGCACUCUGGGCCGGAACUGACGCUGAGGAGCGAAAGCGUGGGUAGCGAACAGG